rnacentral:rRNA from 1 species
AGUGAACGCUGGCGGUAGGCCUAACACAUGCAAGUCGAACGGCAGCACAGUAAGAGCUUGCUCUUACGGGUGGCGAGUGGCGGACGGGUGAGGAAUACAUCGGAAUCUACUUUUUCGUGGGUGAUAACGUAGGGAAACUUACGCUACUACCGCAUACUACCUACGGGUGAAAGCAGGGGAUCUUCGGACCUUGCGCGACUGAAUGAGCCGAUGUCGGAUUAGCUAGUUGGCGGGGUAAAGGCCCACCAAGGCGACGCUCCGUAGCUGGUCUGAGAGGAUGAUCAGCCACACUGGAACUGAGACACGGUCCAGACUCCUACGGGAGGCAGCAGUGGGGAAUAUUGGACAAUGGGCGCAAGCCUGAUCCAGCCAUGCCGCGUGGGUGAAGAAGGCCUUCGGGUUGUAAAGCCCUUUUGUUGGGAAAGAAAAACAGCAGGUUAAUCCCCCGCUGUUCUGACGGUACCCAAAGAAUAAGCACCGGCUAACUUCGUG